UACUGAGAAGCACCAUAGGAUUUCAGAGAUGUCACCAGUAUGAUCUUAAGGAAGGACAGAAAGCUGACUGAAGUGUCCAAGGACAUCUUUUGACCACCUUUGUGCAGGAUCCUCUGGGAGGUCACCUAGAUUCCAUUUUAGGUGGCUCAAUAAAUCAGCAGGCCACGCCUCAUGCAGUUUCUAGAGGACUUGUUGGGUCUCCAGUGGAUCCCAAUCUGAAGACUCCUUCAGGACUCCUGUUUCUCCCUUCCUCUCAUUCUCAAGGAACAUGUUUCCCUGACUUUAGGGGCAUUAGUGCAAGAUGGCUAAGGGAGGGUCAAUGGGAAGGAGAAUAAAACAGAAGAAUAUAGUGAUGAGAGCCUUGAGGUAUCAGCUUGAAAACUGUGGAACUCAUCAAGAGAUGUUAAAGUGCAAUUCUCUGAAGGUACCCAAACAGUGAAACUGUGGCAGGCGGGAUGGAUGUGAAGCUUUAGAGCACUCCUUGCCCAGCUGCUGCAGGCUGGUUGUGCUCCUUUACCAAAGGCUGCAGCUCUCAGUGGAUGGCUCUCUGGAGUUUCUGUAACCAGCUACCUCCUGGGGCUCCUUCUCUCCAGCCUGGGUACCAGCAUCACUGUUACUCAGCCCCAGGGUAUUGCACCAGCACUUGUUGCUCUGUCCCAACCCUGCCCACACCUUCUACAUAGUCCCUGUACUAAACUUGCCUCAAUUAUUCAACGUGCUUUCUGCUUUCUCCAGAGACACUAAUACACCUGACAGGAGGUACCAGUAAAGUAAAGGUAGGGAAGGUAAAGACAGGAAGGAGAGGAGAAUCUAUACAUUGAGCUUUUCUUAGCAUCACAGAAGCAUGGGUUUGAAGCUCAGUUAGUUAUGUGAUCAAGUUAUUUAACUUUGGAGUAAUUUCCCUGGACUCACAAUGGGCAUAACAUCUACCUGGCAGGGUUGGGAAGGGGAGACAAUGUAUGUGGGAGCGACAGCAGAGUGCCUGGCACAUGGCGGGUACUCAGUGCGGAAACUCUAUUAUUACGACAACAUCCUAGGCCCUGU